GUGUUGCAUGGCUGUCGUCAGCUCGUGUCGUGAGAUGUUGGGUUAAGUCCCGCAACGAGCGCAACCCUCAUCCUUAGUUACCAUCAGGUAAUGCUGGGGACUUUAAGGAAACUGCUAGUGAUAAACUGGAGGAAGGUGGGGAUGAUGUCAAGUCAUCAUGGCCCUUAUGGAGUGGGCUACACACGUGCUACAAUGGUGGCUACAAUGGGCUGCAAAGUCGCGAGGCUAAGCCAAUCCCUUAAAAGCCAUCUCAAUUCAGAUUGUACUCUGCAACUCGAGUGCAUGAAGCUGGAAUCGCUAGUAAUCGUGGAUCAGCAUGCCACGGUGAAUACGUUCUCGGGUCUUGUACACACUGCCCGUCACGCCAUGGGAAUUGGU
rnacentral:rRNA from 1 species